GUGGCACAGUGGUUAACGAAUCUGACUAGGAACCAUGAGGUUGCAGGUUCGAUCCCUGCCCUUGCUCAGUGGGUUUACGAUCCGGCAUUGCGGUGAGCUGUGGUGUAGGUCGCAGACGCGACUCGGAUCCCGCAUUUCUGUGGCUCUGGUGUAGGCCGGCAGCUACAGCUCCAAUUAGACCCCUGGCCUGGGAACCUCCAUAUGCCGCGGGAGCAGCUCUAGAAAAGGCAAAAAGACAAAAAAAAAAAAAAAAAAAAAAGUCUACUCUGACGAAUAUACUCUUAACAAAAGGCACUACAAAAUAAGCAGAUAAAAAGCCAUGUUGGCAUAGGACUAUUGCUCUAAGUUUUUGGUAAAGUCAAUCAGCCAACAUGUUUGACUAAUUCCUGACGCACUGACCAAAUAGCAGAUUAACUGAAAUACAUGGUCAGUAAAAAGUUAUGCAAAUAAUGCACUCUAAUAAGUUAAGAAGAUGGGUCCUUUAAGUAGUAUCAAGAAAAGUAGGGUUGCGUUUCCCUAACGUUCCUCUCAUAGAAAUGCUAAAUCUUUCUGAGUCUUAAUAAAAUUUUCAAACACUGGGUUGGUGAUGUGCCCUCUCUUAUGGUUGUAGUUAUCUGAUCAUCCGAGAAUUGAGGGGAAAUCUUCAGAUUCAAGAUCAUUUGCAUGAACUUUUUUCCUUAGCAAUACACCUUUCAUUUAGAAAAGCAUCCUGGGAGUUCCCAUUGUGGUCAGUGGAAACGAACCCAACGAGUAUCCUUGAGGACGUGGGUUCAAUCCCUAGCCCUGCUCAGUGGGUUAAGGAUCCAGCGUUGCCCCAAGCUGUGGUGCAGAUGCGGCUCAGAUCCUGUGUUGCUGUGGCUGUGGUAUAGGCCAACAGCUAUAGCUCAGAUUCAUCCCCUAGCCUGGGAACUUCCAUAUGCCACAGGUGUGGCUCUAAAAAGGAAAAAAGAAAAGAAAGAAAAGAAAAGCAUCCUGACUUGGUCCAGAAUGUAUUUCCCCUUCACUCAGCAAGACACCCCCCUUCCCCCACCAAAUAUCCAUUAUAGCAAGAAAAUAGGAUGUGGGCUGUGGAAAAAUAAAUGUGCAGCAUAGAAAGCAUGUUGGUUAAUAUUAUAGGCGAUCCUGGGUGUCCACUCUCCUAGGCAUCCUUUCAGCUUCAUUUGAUCUAAAGUAUUCAGAGGAGUAUUUUUGAACACCCCACUGUUCAGAACUAAGGCAGAUGCAGUCACAUCUUCUAGUUGUGUUCUGAAUCUGCUGAGGGUGUUUCUCUUUCCAGUAUGCAAAACCGACCUCUCUUCAUUGCUGCUGUUGCUGCUAUAGAUCCAUUCCUCCAAUUCCCCAUGAUGUUCCAAAGGCAGUGGAUGGCUGCUUGUAUCCCGCUGACACAAGGAUAAGAGGCCCCCUUAGAGUUCUGUUUGGAGACCCCUGAGUAUCAGCUGAUGGUUCCAGCUUCCAAGUGGGAGGAACUUCCUUGGAUGAUCAAGGAACCUGAUUAGUUGCUUUAACCAAAGCUCAAAGCAUGAUGUCUCUGACAACAUCAAACAAAGCUUAUGCACAAGGGUGAGCGUGGCAAUGCCUUAAUAGAACUGUUCUGUUUUCAAAAUGUUGAAUUUUACAUAUUGAGGACUCUCUCUGAACCUCCCAGCUGAUUUUUAUGGGAGGUUCCAAUCUUCCUCACCUUUGACACCGUCUGCAAGAAAAUGGCUUGGAAACACUGCCUGUAAGGGUAUAAACUGUAUGACUUUUACUUUGGAGAAUGCAAGGAUUUCUGAUAAAUGGAUGGUGAAAGUUCACUCCAAGUUUUUAUUAAAAAGAAUAAAUGAAGGAGUUCCCAGGUGGUGCAGUGGGUUAAGGAUCUGGCAUUGUCACUGUAUCAACCCAGGGUCACUGCUGUGGUGAUCUCUGGCCCGGGAACCUCCACAUGCCACAGGUAUGACAAAAAUAAAAAAGAAUAAAUGAAAACCUAGGAAUAUUGAAGCCCUUGGACUUUUAACUGUGUGAUUAUCAUCAUUUUCCCUGAGAGCAGUUCUAUGGGAAGUAAGGAGAGAAAAACAGACAAGGAAAAUAAUUCACUGGCUCCAACUUUAGAAGCAUUACUUCAUCUGGUAGUGUUUCCCCUGUUUGGUUUUGGGCAACAGUCAGCUCACACUUUGUAACAACCCACUGAGUGCCAAGCAAGCUAGGAAGCCGGCCUGAAUGUGAGGCAGACUCUGCAGCCGCACCAAUACCUCCCUAAAUUUUCCUGGGCUGCAAAACCCUCUUUCUUUGCCUAAUUUUGUUUGUGUUUGUUCGCAGCACCUCAGAGUAGAAGACUGUGCAAUUCAAUAGUGUUUAUGAAGAACGCACUGAAAUCCUGUUACUUUUGUUAGUCUGGUGUUGGAGCCAGUGUAGGCCUCCUCUGCACCUCCUCCCCACCCCCCGCAAAACCCAAGGGUCAAAUUUCUACAGGUGUGAUUUUUCAAACCUGGCAUAAUUUUCUUUUCUCCUUAAAAAAAAAGUUUUAAAAUGUCUCGUUCUUUAAGCUAGCAUAAGUUUCAAUGUGUCUAGGAAUGAGUAUUGAGAAAAAAGUUAAAUGAAUCAUCCAAUCUUUUUCUACUUUUGAAAAAUACAUGUGAUUUUUCUUGAAACUAUCACCGUUGCCCAAUUGUAUUAUUUGUGCCAGUUUCUUUAAAAUAACAUGGUGUGUUAGCAGCCUACAAGUAGUUAAGUAUCUCUUUACUUUGAGUAAAAGUAUAGAGACUUUUAUUUUCAUCAGCAAAUUCUGUAAUUCCUCCAUAGGAGAACAAUUACUGUAGCUGAAUCUCAGAUGCCUAAGGUAUGUCUUUCAUAAAUUCAAAACAUUUGGGGGACAUUUUAUUGAAGAAUUUAACAAAAGCGUUAAAUGCAAUGUUUAUAAAUAUUUGUUGAGCAUCGACUAGAUACCAGGCACUGCAAGGGCUAUAACAUGGUCUCCUCUGCACAGAAUCUUACAAUCAACUGGAAAGAUGAGAGAACUUCCAGAUCAAAGGCAGUACAAGGCAAUGUGGUGAGUCCCUUUGUCCCCACCCUCAGCCCGUGGAUCUCAAAUGGAACCAGCAUUUUUAGUCAACUCGCUUUGGGGUUUGCGCAUCGUUGUUCCAUUUGAAGCUGCACGUAGGUCUCCCUACUGCAUCCUAUGGCCUUUGGGAAGCCGCUCUGAAGGUUUCCCUAGACUUAGGACAGUAUUUGAUGGGUUAGAAGUGGCAACAGUGGAUGCCUUACUGGACAAUAUAAAUGGCAACUGUAAUCCCUUAAAUCUGGAAUAGAAUUUUGCUAGUUUGUUCAUUCCCAAAGAAGAGACUAUUAGAAUAAGUGAAUGUCCCUCAACCAGCAUUGUGUCUAUACACCCCCAACACAAUGGGGGAAAGAGAUGGAAUUCAGUGUUAUAAAAGGCUUGGCAUGUUUGAUUGAAGAGAUUCUUCUAUGCUAAAUGUCCCCAAUGGUCCUUCCUAUGACUACUGCCCCUAAUCGACUAUUCCAGGGUGCAUGUGAGUCCAUAGGAUCCAGUCUUAGAAUGACCCACUCAGAAAUGCAAUGAGUUGAAUAUUCACUCAUCUGACUGCACUUCAUGUUGACUUACUUCACUCCCUCAUUGUGGUGAAGAAUAUUUUCAUGGUGUGCUAUUUAGCCCGUCCUGUGAAAACACUGUUUGCAUGAGGUUGGAUCACACCUAUUCACAUAUCAUAGACACCUGUUUAUUCUACCAAGGAAAGUUUUGAUUACCUGAAUCUAGGAAAUGCUUGUUUUUCUUCACCCAGUCUAGACACGCUUGGUGUUUAGACACCUAAAAGUCCUUACUUUUCACUGAGUACUUUCCUAUUUCAGCCUUUGCCCACAAUGCUUUCUCUACUGGAAUGGCUUCCUCAACCCUCCCCUUUCUGAAUUAUCAAAAUUACAGGCAGCCUUCAGGGUUCAGUUUGAGCAUCACCAGAAAAUGUUCCCUACUCUUAAUUGGAAGAAAUGUCUCUUCUUCAAAUGAAUACCAUCAUGCUAUUUUUUGAAUACUUUAUAGUACUUCUCACUUUCCACCGAAGGUCAUAUAGAGGCUUGAUAUACAUUUGUUCUUUCUCUCCUGUCACCUGCACAGUCCUUGAAAGGAUCAGACAAAACUUAAAAGAGGCACUCUAGACAGAAGAACUUUCAGAGAGCACGUCUGGUUUUGCUUGCUUUGUAUCACUUGUGCCUGUCAUAGAGUCAGAAGCAUAGUAGGUGCUCAAUAAAUAUCUGUACAAUGAUCCAGUAGAUAGGUCUGGCACAUAAACACACCUAAUAAAUACUGAAUUAAUCAGGAAGAUGAUGUUCAAUUUGCAUAGUAACCUUAAAUCAUGAAAUAUGCACAUCCUCAGUUCCUUCCUAAUUUUCCCUUUUUUAAUUCUGCCUUGUAACCCAAUCCUCCUCCUGUCCUCGGCAGUUCUUCUAAGACCUUUUAGGUUCUUGUGCUGUGCUGCAACAGUUGCAUUUAAUUUCUCUUUCAUGUGUUGUAUGGACCUUAAUACUGUCCAAAAAGUUUAAGAAGUGGCUUUUGUUCAUUUAAUCGGAGUACAUCAUGUCUAGCCUUUUGAUUUGCUUGGGUUUUAUUUCUCUUCUUGGAAGAAGUCCUGCCUAUUGAUGCCAGGAAUCUCUUAGAGAAAUGACUGCAUAAGAUUGAACUUACAGAGCCAUGGUUUUGGUCUUAUAGGCAUCAUAGAGAGACUCAAGACUCCUUUAUUUUACCAGAGGCCCAAGGCCUGGAGAGGUACAGUGACUCUGUGAACUAAGGAGACAAAAGGACAUGGUUAGAUCUGGUUUUAGUUUAGGUGUUCUAGCUGUACACUGUGACUUGGGAGAUUACUUUGCCAGAGCUAUUUUUAAAAUUUGGAGGUAUGGGAGCUGUGAUAGGUGAUGGGGUCAGGGAAAGGCCGUUGUGAAGAGGGCAUCCUCAACUUCAAUUUAGCUCUAAAAUUUAAUGUAACUACUGCCUCAUGCUGUCUGUUCUAGAAUAAAGAAAAGUCUAUCCUCAAGCCCGUGGCCAUAGUUCUGCAUGACCAUAUUUUCACACUGCAUUUUGGAUCAUUUCAUGGACAGAUUCCACUAGCUGCAUCCCUAAAGUGAAAAUGACAUAUACUCUGGGCAGAAUUUAUGGGCCACUGCAAAAAUUAACAUGAUUAACUAUUUACAAAGAUCACAGAAAAUCCGGCAACCUUGAUAAAAACCACGGUCCCCCUCCUAAACUAUUAUAGAGGUCAGAUUCUAGCCUGUUGAUCUCGAAGUAGAAAGAAAAUUAUUUACACUGCCAUUGGCAUUGCCUUCAUUAGAUACUUCUCUUGUAGGGGGGAAAAAAUGGAAUCCAGCCCCUGAAAAAAAAGUGUCUAAGUGGAGAAAACACUGGGUUAGUAAGCUUCUAACCAAAGUUCUCUGAUUACUUCAUAGGAUCUUACUUUCUUUACAAAUAAAGCAUUUCCUUCUUAGCUUUCUUUCAACAAUUUUUCCCAAUUUUUUCUAUUUGGAUUUCAUAGCAAACUGACUACAGAAUUGAGUAAGACAGUCUCAAACAUUAAAUCCAUUUAUCAUUUACUAUUUUGCUUGUACUAAUAAUUCUAAUUACCCCAACUGCCUCCUCCGCCUUUUAAUUUCUUUGUUUGAUGCAAAUUUGAUGUCUCCUCUUUAUAAGAGAAUUUGCUAAAAGGCUGAUUAUGGCUUCUUUUCAUUAAAUUUUAUGUCUAGAAACCCUAAGUAUAUCUUGAAGGAAACUUCCAUCAUUUUCUUUGAUAGUAUGGUGCCUCAAACUGUUCAGAUGCCUACACUUUGGUCUUAUAGUUCAAUGUCUAUAUAUUUACAUGAGGAAAACAAUGCCAAUUUCUGUUUGAACAAAAAUGAAGUGAAAAUGAAAAGCGUAGGAAUUCCCUGGUGGUUUAGUGGGUUAAGGAUCCCGCACUGUCACUGCUCUGGCUCAUGUCGCUGCUGUGGUGCAGGUUUGAUCCCUGGCCCAGUAACUUCUCCAUGUCAUGGGUG
rnacentral:lncRNA from 1 species